rnacentral:rRNA from 1 species
AUUGAACGCUGGCGGCAUGCUUUACACAUGCAAGUCGGACGAGUGGCGAACGGGUGAGUAAUAUAUUGGAACGUACCGAGUAAUGGGGGAUAACCAAUCGAAAGAUUGGCUAAUACCGCAUACUAUUCGAGCGGCCAAUAUCUGAUUAGCUAGUGGGUGGGGUAAAGGCCUACCAAGGCGACGAUCCGUAGCGGGCCGGAGAGGAUGACCGGCCAAACUGGGAUUGGGACACGGCCCAGACUCCUACGGGAGGCAGCAGUGGGGAAUUUUGGACAAUGGGCGAAAGCCUGAUCCAGCAAUGCCGCGUGGCUGAAGAAGGCCUUCGGGUUGUAAAGUACUUUUGUUAGGGAAGCGGUACCUGAAGAAUAAGCACCGGCUAACUACGUGCCAGCAGCCGCGGUAAUUC